rnacentral:rRNA from 1 species
AACGAACGCUGGUGGCAUGCCUAAUACAUGCAAGUCGAACGCGAAAGCUCUUCGGAGUGAGUAAAGUGGCGCACGGGUGAGUAACGCGUAGGUGACAUACCUUCUAGUGGGGGACAACAUCGGGAAACCGGUGCUAAUACCGCAUAUUUUGUGUGACAUUAAAAAAGCACAACAAAGGGGACGUUCGGCUCUCGCUAGUCGAUUGGCCUGCGUUGCAUUAGCUUGUUGGUGGGGUAAAGGCCCACCAAGGCGACGAUCCGUAGCUGGUCUGAGAGGAUGAUCAGCCACACUGGAACUGAGACACGGUCCAGACUCCUACGGGA